AGUGUUGGGUUAAGUCCCGCAACGAGCGCAACCCCUAUCUUUAGUUGCCAUCAGUUCGGCUGGGCACUCUAUGGAGACUGCCACCUAAAGUGGAGGAAGGUGGGGAUGACGUCAAGUCAGCAUGGCCCUUACGUCCGGGGCUACACACGUGCUACAAUGGCCGGUACAAAGGGUUGCGAAGCCGUGAGGUGGAGCGAAUCUCAAAAAGCCGGCCUCAGUUCGGAUUGGAGGCUGCAACUCGCCUCCAUGAAGUCGGAAUCGCUAGUAACCGCAGAUCAGCUACGUUGCGGUGAAUACGUUCCCGGGCCUU
rnacentral:rRNA from 1 species